GGAAUAUUGGACAAUGGGCGCAAGCCUGAUCCAGCCAUGCCGCGUGAGUGAUGAAGGCCUUAGGGUUGUAAAGCUCUUUCGGCGGGGAAGAUAAUGACGGUACCCGCAGAAGAAGCCCCGGCAAACUUCGUGCCAGCAGCCGCGGUAAUACGAAGGGGGCUAGCGUUGCUCGGAAUUACUGGGCGUAAAGCGCACGUAGGCGGAUUCUUAAGUCGGGGGUGAAAUCCCGGAGCUCAACUCCGGAACUGCCUUCGAUACUGAGAAUCUCGAGUCCGGGAGAGGUGAGUGGAACUCCGAGUGUAGAGGUGAAAUUCGUAGAUAUUCGGAAGAACACCAGUGGCGAAGGCGGCUCACUGGCCCGGUACUGACGCUGAGGUGCGAAAGCGUGGGGAGCAAACAGGA
rnacentral:misc_RNA from 1 species